GGAUUAGAUACCCGGGUAGUCCAUGCCGUAAACGUUGGGCACUAGGUGUGGGGCUCAUUCCACGAGUUCCGUGCCGCAGCAAACGCAUUAAGUGCCCCGCCUGGGGAGUACGGCCGCAAGGCUAAAACUCAAAGGAAUUGACGGGGGCCCGCACAAGCGGCGGAGCAUGCGGAUUAAUUCGAUGCAACGCGAAGAACCUUACCAAGGCUUGACAUACACCGGAAACUUCCAGAGAUGGUUGCCCCGCAAGGUCGGUGUACAGGUGGUGCAUGGUUGUCGUCAGCUCGUGUCGUGAGAUGUUGGGUUAAGUCCCGCAACGAGCGCAACCCUCGUCCUAUGUUGCCAGCACGUGAUGGUGGGGACUCAUAGGAGACUGCCGGGGUCAACUCGGAGG
rnacentral:rRNA from 1 species